rnacentral:tRNA from 1 species
CAAAGUGAAGCUUUAAAGUAAAGCAUUUCAUUUACAUUGAGGGGAAUUUCGUGCAAUUCGAAUUACUUUGA